CAUCUGAAACAUAAGUCGUGAUAAGACCUCCUCUAAGCCUAAAUCCAUGAUCUUUGGAUUGCCCUUCAGAUUGCUCAUAACCACUAUCAUUGCAGGAAUUGAGGAUGGAACAAAUCUGUGAUUUCAUCAGCAUAAGAAACUUCUGAUGUGGGAUACAUCGCAAUCAAUCGGAAAAGAAAAGGCCAGCCUAGCUGGGAAAGAUAGGAGCAGCAGAAGAACAACCUCAUUGAAGUUAAGAAGGGCUGCAACCAUGAGGUCACCAGCAUUGGACUCCAGAUCC